AUCACUUCUCGGCCUUUUGGCUAAGAUAAGUAUAGUAUCUGUUGUUAUCAGUUUAAAAUGACUGCCAAGUUUUUAAUCUGUUCCAUGGCUAGUGAUACAUGCACAAUAUUUGGUUGUUGUUGUUUGUUUUUAAGGCAAAAGCAUCAAUAAAUAUCUUUUGGACCACUU
rnacentral:snRNA from 1 species